rnacentral:lncRNA from 10 species
UGACUUUGAUCCUUUCCUUCCCCCGGAUGCCCGAGGAGCAUGAUAAGACGGGUGACCUGGGUCCACCCCCUGCUCUGAUCCUAACUGCUGACCCAGACUUCAGAUUCAAAGCUGACUGAGGACAGUGUAUCAUUUAUUCCUGAACACCAGCUCCACAACUAAACAACAACCACAUUGAUGUGAGCUCCUCAUACAUCUUCAGCCAAGGCACACAGAAAAAGGAAAUGCCUGACAAACAACCCUUCUGAGUGAAGAAUGAUGGGAUCUAAUGCCAGGACUCUGUUGAUUGGCCAGUGGAUAUCAACACAUAUGAUGUAAGCAGAGACUUGAAAAGCAUUUAGCAUUGCCCUCUUGCUGCACUUGGAGAUAACCAUGUGAACAAGCCCGAGCUAUCCUGCUGGAAGAUGAGAGACACAUGGAUAAGAACUAACAACCUGCCCAACCAUCAGACUUGCGAAUGAGGCCAUCUUUGGUCAUCCAGUCACAAGACACCCCACAGAUGUACAUUGGCAAGAGUACAACAGGAGUCAGCCGGGACAACCCAGCCCAGAAGAGCUGCCCAGACAACCUACAGAAUCAUGAGCUAAAUAUGACACUCAAGGUGUAGGCAAAUAUGCACAGAGUCUAAGACUUAGGCCCAUUUUCCUAAAAAUUCCCUUUUAUUAUUGAACCACCGAAAUAAUUUUUUAAUAUUCUUAAACAACCAAAAUUGUGGUAAGCAUGUUCAGGUGCAGUGGAGACUGGAUAGUGUAUUUAGGACUCUCCUGGUGUGCCUCAUUACCUACCAAUUACACCAGACCAUCUGACAAAGCCUGCUCUUAACCAUACAGGUAACUGUAUUCGAAAUGACACUUUUGAAUAUUUUGAGGACUAAAUGAGUGUGUGUCUGUGUGUGUGUGUGUAUGUUUGUGUAUAGUAAAUGCUGUCUGUGCUCUGUCCCCAUUCCCUACACGUCCUUCUCAUGUUUAUGUGUGUGCAUUCACUCCAGCAGCCAGGACCUCCUUUCUUUGGGAGAAACUAUUCCUCACCCAACCAAACCACAGGGCUCUCUCAUGGACUGACAGUCUUAGUCCACCCCUAACCCAGCCACAGGUGACUGAUCCAUCAACAGGCAAGUGACCCAAAUCACACCAACCAGAAUCCUGGCCUGGAAUUUUCAAACUAAAGCCUAGGAGAGACAGAUGGUUAGACUUAUCAACAAGGACCUCUCAGCAGCUGUGUUCCCUUCCAGUCUGAUAUUCAGAGAGACAGAGAAAAAAAGAGACCAGUAGAGUAUAUGUCAUGGGCCUUCCCCAUGAGAUGAGACACCAAUGUGCCUUUUUGUCCCAAGUCAGUUAGAGGUAUGUUUCUGUCACUUGCAACCAACAGAUCUCUGGUUGACUGACACCUCUGGAUUCCUGGUUUCCUAGCACUCUUGGUCUUAUUUGAAAUCCACUUGCUGAAGCCACCUAUUAGACCUAGACUGACUGCUCCUUCUUGGUCAUAUCUUGGAUAUGGUGUUUCCCCUCAGGGUUCCUGAAGUCUGUUCUUUGUCCACUCAUGCAGUGUGGUCCCAAGAAGAAUAAAAACAUGAAGUUCACAGCACUGCGGAGAACAGCAUCAGCCUUUUCCUAACUAAAGCUCUUUACUUCGUUAGACAUUAGCUCCCUCUUCUUUGCUCAGCCUCCUCAGCCACUAGUGACCAGCAUUAACCUUGAGGUUGUCUAAAGAUGAAAGAAGAGGCCUAGACAAUUCAUGACCAAAACACAAUCAUAGCGACUCUGUUUGACAUAGAGAGGAAUUGGACAACAUUGGAUCAUUCAUAUGAAUAUGUGCAUGUUUAAUUAAGUUGGCAGAGACAACACUCUUGCCAUGUGACACAGCGGCUCUCAAACUUUACUUGUUUCAGAAACAUCUGUGAUGCUUUUUCUAUCUACAGAUACCACAGUCCCUCCCCAGACCUCUUGGAUACAGGCUUUGAAAGUGGGUUAAAAAUAAGAGCAAAUGAUAAAAAUCACCAGAUUAAAAAUGGGCAAAGGACUUGAAUAGUCAUUUCUCCAAAGAUGAUGAACAAAUGGCCAAAAAGCACAUGGAAGAUGCUCAUCAUCAUUAAUCAUUAGGGAAAUGCAAAUCAAAACACAAUGAAAUACCACCUCUGGUUGAAUCCACAGAUAUGGAACCUACAGAAAUGGAGGGCCAACUGUAUUUGUCCUUUUGCAAUUGGCUUAUUUCACUAUUUUUAUUUGUAUUAUUUUUUAUUGUUUUUUCUGAAUAUUUUCAAUAAUACCAAUAAAAAACAGUUUAACAACUAUUUACAUAGCAUUUACAUUGUAUUCGGUAUUAUAAGUUAUCUAGAGAUGAUUUCAAGUAUUAAGGAGGAUGUAUGUAGGGUAUGUGCAAAUACAACACCAUUUUAUAUAAGAGACUUUAGAGUAUCCAUGGAUUUUGGUAUCUGUAUUGUACAAUUCCACUUAUAUGAGAUACUUAUAGUCAAAAUCAUAGAGACAGAAGGUAGAAUGGUGGUUGCCAGGGGCUGGGGGGUGGGGGGAAUAGGAGUCAUUGUUUAAUGGGUAUAGGGGUUCAGUCUUACAAGAGGAAAAGUGUUCUGGAGAUGGAUAGUGCUGAUGGUUGCACAACAAUAAGAAAGCACUUAAUACCACUGAACUGCACACUUAAAAACGGAAAAGAUGGUAAAUUUUAUAUCAUGUGUAUUUUACCACAAUAAAAUAAAAAU